CCUACGGGAGGCAGCAGUGGGGAAUAUUGGACAAUGGGCGCAAGCCUGAUCCAGCCAUGCCGCGUGAGUGACGAAGGCCUUAGGGUUGUAAAGCUCUUUUGGCGGGGACGAUAAUGACGGUACCCGCAGAAUAAGCCCCGGCUAACUUCGUGCCAGCAGCCGCGGUAA
rnacentral:rRNA from 1 species